rnacentral:tRNA from 1 species
AAGGGCUUAGUUUAAUUAAAUCAAUUGAUUUGCAUUNAGUAGAUGUAANAUAAAGUCUUGCAGUCNUUA